rnacentral:misc_RNA from 1 species
GAUGAAGAACGUAGUGAAAUGCGAUAAGUAAUGUGAAUUGCAGAUUUCAGUGAAUCAUCGAAUCUUUGAACGCACCUUGCGCCUUGUGGUAUUCCACAAGGCAUGCCCGUUUGAGUAUCAUUAAAUCAUCAACUCUAAAACCUUUGUGGUUUUUUUUAGAGCUUGGUCUUGAGGGUUUUGCAGGCUUUUUUUUUUUUUUCGAUUCUGCUCCCUUUAAAUGCAUUAGCGAGACUUCCAUAUGCUGAACCGUCUCUUUGACGUGAUAAUUAUCUGCGUCGAAUUUUGGUUCUCGUUGGGCUUGCUUCUAAUCGUCUGUUAAAGACAAAACGGAUUUCGGUGCAUAUAUGCGCCUUUUUCCAAAACCUUUUUUUGAUCUCAAAUCGGGUAGGACUACCCGCUGAACUUAAGCAUAUCAAUAAGCGGAGGA